AGCGUAGACGGUGUGGCAAGUCUGAUGUGAAAGGCAUGGGCUCAACCUGUGGACCGCAUUGGAAACUGUCAUACUUGAGUGCCGGAGGGUAAGCGGAAUUCCUAGUGUAGCGGUGAAAUGCGUAGAUAUUAGGAGGAACACCAGUGGCGAAGGCGGCUUACUGGACGGUAACUGACGUUGAGGCUCGAAAGCGUGGGGAGCAAACA
rnacentral:rRNA from 1 species